CAGUAGCCACGGUAAUACAGAGGGUGCAAGCGUUAAUCGGAAUUACUGGGCGUAAAGCGCGUGUAGGUGGUUUGUUAAGUUGGAUGUGAAAUCCCCGGGCUCAACCUGGGAACUGCAUUCAAAACUGACUGACUAGAGUAUGGUAGAGGGUGGUGGAAUUUCCUGUGUAGCGGUGAAAUGCGUAGAUAUAGGAAGGAACACCAGUGGCGAAGGCGACCACCUGGACUAAUACUGACACUGAGGUGCGAAAGCGUGGGGAGCAAACGGGAUUAGAUACCCCAGUAGUCCCUGUCUCUUAUAC
rnacentral:rRNA from 1 species